rnacentral:rRNA from 1 species
UACGAAGGGGGCUAGCGUUGCUCGGAAUCACUGGGCGUAAAGCGCACGUAGGCGGACUCUUAAGUCGGUGGUGAAAUCCUGGAGCUCAACUCCAGAACUGCCUUCGAUACUGAGAGUCUCGAGUCCGAGAGAGGUGAGUGGAACUGCGAGUGUAGAGGUGAAAUUCGUAGAUAUUCGGAAGAACACCAGUGGCGAAGGCGGCUCACUGGCCGGUACUGACGCUGAGGUGCGAAAGCGUGGGGAGCAAACAGGG